rnacentral:pre_miRNA from 1 species
GCCGUCAAUGUAAAAGGGAGAAAUGUAAUGUGCAGCCAAGGAUGACUUGCCGAUCGACCCGCGAACCCAAUUUGCUCCGGGCUUAUCGAUCGAUUGAUAUUGAUGGAUCGGCAAGUUGGUCCUUGGCUACAUCUUCUUUUUUCCCUUCAUCUCAUCCUUGGC